rnacentral:rRNA from 1 species
AUAGACAUGCAAGUCGAGCGAACAGAAGGGAGCUUGCUCCCGGAUGUUAGCGGCGGACGGGUGAGUAACACGUGGGUAACCUGCCUGUAAGACUGGGAUAACUCCGGGAAACCGGAGCUAAUACCGGAUAGUUCCUUGAACCGCAUGGUUCAAGGAUGAAAGACGGUUUCGGCUGUCACUUACAGAUGGACCCGCGGCGCAUUAGCUAGUUGGUGGGGUAAUGGCUCACCAAGGCGACGAUGCGUAGCCGACCUGAGAGGGUGAUCGGCCACACUGGGACUGAGACACGGCCCAGACUCCUACGGGAGGCAGCAGUAGGGAAUCUUCCGCAAUGGACGAAAGUCUGACGGAGCAACGCCGCGUGAGUGAUGAAGGUUUUCGGAUCGUAAAGCUCUGUUGUUAGGGAAGAACAAGUGCGAGAGUAACUGCUCGCACCUUGACGGUACCUAACCAGAAAGCCACGGCUAACUACGUGCCAGCAGCCGCGGUAAUACGUAGGUGGCAAGCGUUGUCCGGAAUUAUUGGGCGUAAAGGGCUCGCAGGCGGUUUCUUAAGUCUGAUGUGAAAGCCCCCGGCUCAACCGGGGAGGGUCAUUGGAAACUGGGAAACUUGAGUGCAGAAGAGGAGAGUGGAAUUCCACGUGUAGCGGUGAAAUGCGUAGAGAUGUGGAGGAACACCAGUGGCGAAGGCGACUCUCUGGUCUGUAACUGACGCUGAGGAGCGAAAGCGUGGGGAGCGAACAGGAUUAGAUACCCUGGUAGUCCACGCCGUAAACGAUGAGUGCUAAUGGUUA